CAUAAGUAUGUGAAGGGUAUCGCCCUCUGACGUCUAUGAGCAUAUGUAGCAUGUACAAGAAAACAUUCGUGUACUAUUAAGAUGACGAAGCGGUCACAAAGGUUAGCUAGAGCUAGUGUGAAUUUCGCCCAGACAGAGUUCUGAGUGUUUGCUUCUGGAAGUCCUUGCUCUGGCGUGUCUGCCCUGGAAGUCCUUGCUCUGGCGUGUCUGCCCUGGAAGUCCUUGCUCUGGCGUGUCUGCCCUGGAAGUCCUUGCUCUGGCAUGUCUGCCCUGGAAGUCCUAGCUCUGGCGUGUCUGCCCUGGAAGUCCUUGCUCUGGCGUGUCUGCCCUGGAAGUCCUAGCUCUGGCGUGUCUGCCCUGGAAGUCCUAGCUCUGGCGUGUCUGCCAUGGAAGUCCUUGCACUGGCGUGUCUGCCCUGGAAGUCCUAGCUUUGGCGUGUCUACCAGUUUCCAUGUGGAACUGAUGCAUGCACUUGCCGGUUCAAAUUUGGUGCUAGAAUAAUAUUAUUUGGGAAGAUAGAUUAUGUUCGUUGUGUGAUAUCAGAUAAAUUGCAGAUAAUACCAUUAUUUAUCAUAUAAUAGCAUAUCCACUGUAAUCAAAGUACAUUGUAUGUGAUAUUUUUCAGCUCACAUACUUUCAGAAUUGGAUAACUUUGCAAAGCAGAUGUAAAUUAAUCGAGGUCACGGCACUACGUUCGUUGGCAUUUAACAGUCGUCAAACAACUUUAAAUGUUGUCCAGCGUUCUGAAAAAAAAACACGUCAUUCACUAGUUUAUUUUAUGUUAGGAUAUCCGACGUCGUUCCCAUUCAAAACGACACUGCAUCAAAUAUCCAUUCGUCAUUUGGAUAUAGAUUGAUGGCUGACUGGAAUUAUAGUUGCAUAUACAGUUGA